rnacentral:snRNA from 1 species
GGAUAUGAAGGCAAUUUGGCUGUGACAUCUGUCACCCAUCACCAUGGCUUCUUCAUUGCUUCACGUGCAUCUGCCCCAAAGCUGUGCACUCAGUGCUCUCGAUGGAAGAGGACGACCUUCCCUGUAUAUAGGAGAGCCUAUCUUCAGACAAGGGUAUAUGAGUAGCUACACUCCCCUGCUACAACCUCCAAACAAGCUCAGAGAAGAAGAAAAAUGAUGGUGCAUACCUUUAAUCCCACCUAGCAUUUGGGAGACAGAUGCAGGUGGAUCUCUAUGAGUUU